GUGGUGUGGUGGGUGAUGGCAGAGCUGGAAGGACUCUGGGCAGGAUUCCCCCCACAGCAGGCAGGGCCCUGGUCUUGCCUUGCCUGCGGUGGGCAGGGGACCCCUGCAGCACCCUGUUCCCGGGGAUGGACGUACCGAUGCCGCCAAAGGGCAGCGAGGACAAGAACUCAAACUACAGGACAGCUGGACAGGCUCGGACCCCUCUCCUCCCUGAGCAGGGCCGCCUCUUUGGUCAAAUUUGGAUUUCGACUACAUCAGAUGCUACCCAGGACAGUUGUGUCACCAAAAGCGCUGAACACUUAACCCCAGCCCGAUUUUUGCGGUAAGUGCGUUUAUCAUUGGCAAUCCUGAACUUGUACCUGUCACCUUAGUAAAUCUUCUCUUUUUUUCAACUUUGCGAAACUGUUUUGGUGGAAGUCCUUAAACUGGGCUCAGACAGGCAAACACUGGCUCUGGCGAGUCACCACGUAACCCCUCCGACCUGAACCCACCGAUGCAUCUGGGAGGAGAGGCUGAUCCCGCUGUGCCUGGACUCCUCUCCGAAGAAUUUGGAAAGCGAGGGGAUCCUUUCCAAAGCUCCUGGCUCAACGUGAGGGCUGUCCCCCCACCCUCCCAGCCACUCGUCAGGGUCUGAAUGCGACACGGCUGCAGCGACCGGCCCGUGGGCACGGCCACCAUGUUCCCUCCUGCCCCAGCAGCAAGUGGCCAAGCAGAGGGACCCCCUUCCCCAGCACAGCCAGCCCCCCAAGCUGGGGGGGAGCAGCACGGGUGAAGGAGCAACCUGGUGUGUCCCUCUACCCCGCCAGGGACUAAGCACUGUGCAGGGAUGUGUCCAACGGGAUUUUGUGCUGGAGAGGCAGUGGGUUGCGUCUGACCUGGAUUCUCCAUUUGCAGAGCACGGGGUGGGGGUAGCGGGAGGGGAGGAGCAGCUGGGAUGGAGGAACGGAGCCCAGAAACCCACCAGGAUGGAGCCGAAGCAGCCAGGACAGCGUGGUCAGGGGCUCUGGAGGACGGCACACCUGGAAAUGCUGCAGAAGGCUUCCCGUCCCUGCUGCACCUCACCUGUCCCUCUGCUCCAGACUCGGCUGCCUGUGCUGCGCGCCAGGAUCUCCGUGGGAUUGCCGAGAUUGCCAGCCCACAGGAGAUAAGGGAGAGCAAAUUGCAGGGCAUGGGGCAGAAGAAAUGGAUGGUUCCAGUCCAUGGAUUUGGGAGGAGCGUGUUGCUGUGGACUUUCUCAGGGGAGAGUCCCGUCUCUGUGGGAUUGCCAAGAUUGCCAGCCCACAGGAGAUAAGGGAGAGCAAAUUGCAGGGCAUGGGGCAGAGGAAAUGGAUGGUUCCAGUCCAUGGAUUUGGGAGGAGGGUGUUGCUGUGGACUUUCUUGGGGGAGAGUCCCCAAGGCAGGGGGUGCAGGCAUCCCCUGGACCACCCCCCACCCCACCUGCUCCCCUGCUGCGGUGGGGCUGGCAGGGAUGGAGCCAGAGGGUGAUGGCACUGGGAUGGAACCCAUCAAGGGGGCUGCAGGACCUGUGCAUGGGGAGAUGUGGGGCACAGGAGACAUGUUGGGCAGAGGGGCUCCCAAUGGGGCUCUGUCACAAAACUUCUGCCCCAGGUGCUGGCAGGUUCCACCUUCCUGCUGGCUUCACCCCUCCCUAGAUCUCUCCCUUCUGUUGGCCACGGCUCCAUCCCAUCUCCCGAUGGGCAGGGAGGUGGGAAGGAAGCACACGGGAGGUCACCGGUUGCAGGGAAGCACCUUUCAUUGCACAUGGCCACCACAACUACCGCGGCUGGCAGCAGGAGAUAUGGCAGGGGACCCUCAGAGCAGGGUGCGGGACCCUCAGGAUGUGGGACCCUCAGAGCAGGAUGCAGGCCCCCUUGCGCUUCACCUCGGAGGCAGCCCGGACGAUGCCCAGCUUCUGCCGGCUGUAGGGCGGGUAGCGCAGGCUGUUGAUGGCCUCCCGGCCCAUGCCGCGGUGCAGGCAGCCACGGUGGUGGCUGAAGGUUUCGAAGGUGAACUUGCCAUGGUACAUCCCCAAGCCGCUGCUCCCUGCAACACACAACACAGGUCCCCAGUUGGUGGCUGGGUCUGGCCAUCGCUUGCCCAUCAUUUGGGCUAACGAGGCCAAAAUUCAGCUCCCAGCGCCCAGAGGAUGCGGGGGCGAUGGAGGCUGCUUGUGUCUGUGGAUGGCACCACAUCUUCAUCCAGCUGCUUUCCACCAGGGUUGGCAGGGAGCGCUGGCCGUGGCCACUCUUCCCUUGAAAGCAAUCUAAAGGGGAUCAUGGAGGGGGGGCUAGGUGGCCACCCAAAUGAUGCUUGAGGGAUGUUUGGAGUGAGAAGACCAGGCUGGGAGGAGGAAAGGUUCCCCAUAACCCUCUCACCAGUCUGGAUUUCACCAGUUCAGGUGACACGUUUAGCGCCGGUGCAGAGCUCACCGCAUUAACCCGGGCCCAGAAAAAUCUUCAUGGAAUAAGAGUUCCACAAAACGUUGUGUUCCCACCAGGAGGGACUGCACCUUGAAGGAUUUCUGAGGAAACCAGCUGCAGGCUGGAGCCUUUCACGUCAUCCUGCUGCUUUGCGGGGAGGAUCUGCAGUGCCCCCACUUUGCUGGCAGAUGGGGGAGCGGAGGGACCAGGAAAGGCAGCACAUUCAGCGUGGUGUGGGGAGGCAAGAGCUCUGAUUGCUGCCCUCCCGUGCUCACCCUCCGGGGGGGAAGCAGCCUGGAACAGGUCCAUGCCCUUGAGGAUGCUGCGAGAUGUGUCCCCAUCUCCACUGAUGCUUAAGCAGCUAAAAUGCUCAGUAAAGACAAUUAGUCUUGUUUCUAUAUCUUCAGCUCUUUAGCAGGUGCUUCCCACAUCCCCUUUCAAGUUUCUGUUCUCUUUUUACUCUAAUUCAGAAAACUUUACUGCUUUUUUAAAAUAAAUAAAUAAAUAAAUAAAACUUUUUGAUCAUGAAACCUCUCCUGGUGCUAGAGCGACUGGGAAUCACCAAACUGAUGAUGUGGUGUUGGAGUGGGCAAGAUGCUGCUGCCAGAGUUGCUUCCCUACCACAGGGAUACCCUCCGAAACACAUAUCCCCCCCCCCCCCCCCCCCCCCCGCCCUGCUGGCUCCAGCCCCGCUGCAGGCAGAGCUCCUGGAGCAGGAAGCAGUGACAGUCUGACAGUCGAGGUGGCUUUGUGACAAUGUGACCCAUCUCCAAGGACUGAAGUGGCUGUUGGGAGGGGAAAGCUGGCUGGGCAGAACCAAGCAUGGGGAAGCCAGGCAGGCUGGCAGGAAACAAGGAAAUCCACUGGUGUGCUGAUAAGAGGUGUGAUGAAAUUCUGUGAGUCAGACUCCCUGAAGAAAUGCAAAUCCUGGUCAGUCCUGGGUUAUGUUUGGCACCUCACACGUCACCAGCCCCGGCACAGAGGAAGGUCACCGGGUGGCUUGGGUGGAGAAUAUGAGCUGGUUUUCCAUGGUAGUGAAGAUCAUCUAAUCAAGAGUGGGUAUCUCCAUCACCCAGCCCCCCUCUCCAAGGGAAGAGAGCAGCCCUUCUGAGCGUGUUUUGCCAGCCCAAGUGGACAUCCAGAACAGGGCAGAAGGGAUACAGCCCCGAAGUGCUGCUGCUGCCUGUGAGCUGUGCAACGCCAUGUCACAGGGCUGUCAUAGGAACCAAGUUUCCUUGGAUUCAAGGAGAGCCUGGGCCAGCACGCGGAGGCCAGCACCCUUCACCGAGCAUGCGGGGACCCUUCUGGCUUAGCAAACCAUCUGAGCUGGAAACAGAUGGAGGCUGGAAGACUUUCAGGAGUAAAGACUGUGGAUGCUUGCUCUGUUUGUAUUCAUGCAUCUGCAUAAGGUUGUGGUGGAAGAAUGCAGGACUAGGCACAGCUUUGUUCUGAAGCCUUUAAAAGAAUGCAAGUCUUGUUUUCCUGCUGAUGCUCCGGAUAGAAAACAUCCCGUGGGAGCUCAGAAUCAUGUACAUCAACUGAAACAUGAGCGCUACACAACUUACAGCUGAUGGUAGAAUCACAGAAUCUUUUUGGUUGAUAAAGACCUUUAAGACCAUUGAUUCAGAAUAAAAUUUAGACCUUUUUGGGGUCUGUGGGUUUACAAAAGCUUUGUGUGAAGCAACAUGGAGGACCAUCAGAAAUUGCACAUAUAAAUAAAUUUGCCUUAAAAAUA